rnacentral:rRNA from 1 species
AACGAACGCUAGCGGCAGGCUUAAUACAUGCAAGUCGAACGGUAACAGGUGUAGCAAUACAUGCUGACGAGUGGCAGACGGGUGAGGAACACGUACGCAACCUCCCUCAAACCGGGGCACAACCUUGAGAAAUCAGGGCUAAUUCCCCAUAACAUUGCGAAAGGGCAUCUGAUUGCAAUUAAAGAUUUAUCAGUUUGAGAUGGGCGUGCGUCUGAUUAGGUAGUUGGNGAGGUAACGGCUCACCAAGCCGACGAUCAGUAGCUGGUGUGAGAGCACGACCAGCCACACGGGCAC